AUACGGAACGUAUGCGAUGAUGAUAAUAGUAAUGUUGGCGAUGAUAAUCAUCAUCAUCGUCAUCAGCAUCAUCAUUCUCAUCAUCAUCAUCAUCA
rnacentral:miRNA from 1 species